ACGGGUGAGUAAUGCCUAGGAAAUUGCCCUGUGGGGGAUAACCAUUGGAAACGAUGGCUAAUACCGCAUGAUGCCUACGGGCCAAAGAGGGGGACUUCGGGCCUCUCGCGUCAGGAUAUGCCUAGGUGGGAUUAGCUAGUUGGUGAGGUAAGGGCUCACCAAGGCGACGAUCCCUAGCUGGUCUGAGAGGAUGAUCAGCCACACUGGAACUGAGACACGGUCCAGACUCCUACGGGAGGCAGCAGUGGGGAAUAUUGCACAAUGGGCGCAAGCCUGAUGCAGCCAUGCCGCGUGUGUGAAGAAGGCCUUCGGGUUGUAAAGUACUUUCAGUCGUGAGGAAGGCGGUGUCGUUAAUAGCGGCAUUGUUUGACGUUAGCGACAGAAGAAGCACCGGCUAACUCCGUGCCAGCAGCCGCGGUAAUACGGAGGGUGCGAGCGUUAAUCGGAAUUACUGGGCGUAAAGCGCAUGCAGGUGGUUUGUUAAGUCAGAUGUGAAAGCCCGGGGCUCAACCUCGGAAUAGCAUUUGAAACUGGCAGACUAGAGUACUGUAGAGGGGGGUAGAAUUUCAGGUGUAGCGGUGAAAUGCGUAGAGAUCUGAAGGAAUACCGGUGGCGAAGGCGGCCCCCUGGACAGAUACUGACACUCAGAUGCGAAAGCGUGGGGAGCAAACAGGAUUAGAUACCCUGGUAGUCCACGCCGUAAACGAUGUCUACUUGGAGGUUGUGGCCUUGAGCCGUGGCUUUCGGAGCUAACGCGUUAAGUAGACCGCCUGGGGAGUACGGUCGCAAGAUUAAAACUCAAAUGAAUUGACGGGGGCCCGCACAAGCGGUGGAGCAUGUGGUUUAAUUCGAUGCAACGCGAAGAACCUUACCUACUCUUGACAUCCAGAGAACUUUCCAGAGAUGGAUUGGUGCCUUCGGGAACUCUGAGACAGGUGCUGCAUGGCUGUCGUCAGCUCGUGUUGUGAAAUGUUGGGUUAAGUCCCGCAACGAGCGCAACCCUUAUCCUUGUUUGCCAGCGAGUAAUGUCGGGAACUCCAGGGAGACUGCCGGUGAUAAACCGGAGGAAGGUGGGGACGACGUCAAGUCAUCAUGGCCCUUACGAGUAGGGCUACACACGUGCUACAAUGGCGCAUACAGAGGGCGGCCAACUUGCGAAAGUGAGCGAAUCCCAAAAAGUGCGUCGUAGUCCGGAUUGGAGUCUGCAACUCGACUCCAUGAAGUCGUCUGCAACUCGACUCCAUGAAGUC
rnacentral:rRNA from 1 species